GGGCCUCGAGCAGCAGGAAGGGCUGGCAGGGAGAUGUUUCACAGCAGAGCCUUCCAAAGAGGCGCAGCAGGUGAUUAAUGCUGUAACUAAUUGCUGAGGCCACAGAGAAGCUGAACACUUCAUCUUCCUGUUUGAGAUAUUAAUUCAGGCUCUUGCCAUUUGUGUGAGGUAUAGGAAGGGGACCUGGAUGAGCAGAGCAGCCCAGGAGCAGCUCCGGGCUUCUCAGCACAAAGCAAAAUCCAACUCCUUUCUGCCCAUGUCCAAGCCUGAAUGUGAUGUAAUUGAAAUUACAUGGCAUAUCCAUUAACAUCUGAAAAAGUUGUGACACUAACAUGAAGUGAGUAGUGAGGUGAGUAACUUUGAGUUAUUGACAUCACAGAAGUAACAGCCCUGCUAGGUGACCUUAAUCAUCCCUCAAGCAUGCUGACUGUCUUCUAGCUCUUUGUUUGGCCCACAAAAGGAGUUGCUGUUAGAGGGCUGCCAGCCUGGAGGCUGUAAGUGGCUCUUUGGGUCUGGCACACUGGCAGUUUUUAAGGGAGAUACGAGUUUUCUGAAUAGCUGCAGAAGCCACAUGCAAAAAGCAUGCCCAAAUUAUAUACAUCUCCAUCACUAGAGAAAGGAAAAAAAAAAAACCAAAAAGCCAGACAAUAGUUUGCAGGAACACUGAAGUGUUCUUGAGUUUGGGGUUUUAAAAGAAUCAUGUGUAUGAGACCACAUCCCAAGCCCCUCAGUAACACUCAGAAAGUGUCUGCCUGUAAGGAAUACACAGUUCCAUUUUCUACAGUGUUUCCAGGUGUAUGAUGCAGGGAAAAGAGUAAUCAUGUCAUAUUUCCAUUUCUGGUCAUGGAAAAGCAACUUUCUUGUUAAAAUCAAAGAUGAAGCUAUAUCUUAGAAUAUUCACUCUUUUGAUAAUGAUGCUUUGUUUUCCAGACAUGUUAUUCAAUAUAUAUUCAACACAAAACUCAGCCAUCACGUUCCUACAUACCAAGGGCUGAAUUGCCUGGAGAUAUUUCUGCUGCUUCUGAAGAAUUGCUGGGCUCACGUUGGCAGCUCUUCAGCAUACAGUCCACUUUUUGGGUCCUCGCCCAUAGCAUCCCAAAACAACGUCUCCCUUUCUAUUAGGUCCACUCUGGGUUUGUCUCUGAAAAAAACACAGCACCUUUUGCCUUUAAAGAUAAAGCAUUCAAAUGCAUCUGAUAACAAAUUCCCCUCUUGACCUAACAAAUCAAGACUGUUUUCAAGUCUGAGGGUUCAGUGAAACUCCUGUUUGAACCAAAGCCACAUGCAAGACUCCCUAACGCUAGGCAGCUUUCCCUAAUAAGUUUGAUUCCUUUGGGAGAGGGAUAGGGGAGAAAGGUUUGGCACAUUUUCUUUUGUUUUUGAUAUCUCUUUGUCAGUCUUUCUAUCCCUGAAAGCUGCUUGGUUUGUUGUUUCCUUUCAGAUACAAACACUCAUCUAGUUGCAAUCUCUUUUUCAUGCCGGGGUAGCUGCUCUUAUCAUAGAAUCAUAUCAUAGAAUGGCCUCAGUCGAAAAGGACCACAACAAUCAUCGAGUUUCAACCCCCCUGCUAUAUGCAGGGCCGACAACCACCAGACCAGGCUGCCCAGAGCCACAUCCAGCCUGGCCUUGAGUGCCUCCAGGGAUGAGGCAUCCACAACCUCGUUGGGCAACCUGUUCCAGUGUGUCAACACCCUCUGUGUGAAAAAAUUCUCCCUAAUAUCCAACCUAAACCUUCCCUGUCCCGGUUUUAAACCAUUCCCCCUUGUCCAAUCACUGUCCACCCUCAUAAACAGCCGUCCCUAGACUGGGGGCUGUGGCCGGGAGGUGCUCACCAGCUCUCUGCAUAAUGGGAACAGCAUCGUUGGGAGGCCGGGAGAAGUGGUUGCAGAGCUGCCUGUCUCCAGCAGGUGGGAGUCUGCCUGCACCGCUGCCCACUUUCCUGCCUGCACUGCUGCCUGCUCACUCACAAACUCAUCCCCAGAACUGCAGGGAACUGGCAAAGCAAAAAAGUACUAAGGCAGUGUUCCAGAUUGAAAGCACAAGAAGAAAUAGAGUGAAUGAUCAGGGAGGGUAAAGAGAGGACAAGUGUAGGAAGAGUACAGAUGCGCAUCAAGAAGCAAUGAUGUGAGAACACACAAACCCUGUAUUUAUUAUGUUAGGGUGUUAGCUGAGGCUUUCUUCUUUUAUGGGUGUACUUGUGCUUGUGGGGAUGCAUGCAUCCAGUUCACUUUGUCUGAAAGCAGAGCGAUGUGAGUGAGAUCAACACUCUUUGGUUUGUUCCCCCUCAGUGGCUGCUAGGACCCUUCUGGCAGAACUUCUGUGCCCUGGCUCCAUGGCACUGCUCUCACACACAUCAGUGGCUCUUUGCAGUGUCCUCAGCAUUUGACCUCUGUAGUGCAUUGGGGAUGUGCAUGGAUUCAUAUAGCUGGCACUGACCUGGUUUGGAAGGGACAGUAAGAAACAAUGGUGAAACCACGUGGGUAAG
ensembl:lncRNA